UCCGCAACUCCUCCAGGUUCUCUCUGAAGGUGAGGCAGCCCACCGAGGCUGUCUCCGUUGCCUGUCUCUGUGAUUGAUGGUCACCAUCAUCCUUCCUCCCCUAGGCGCCUCAAUCUGGACGCACUUAAUCAGGUUCUGAGAUCAUGCACGGGAAAAAGAACAUGUCCUGGAGAGUUGGCUGGCUGGCCGCACCACCUCAAGGGUCACUGAGAGCUAACUGACGCCAUGAAACAUGGAGCACAAAGCAUGGGUCCUAUUUUCCAAAGGAUUCCAAGAAGGGGUGGGCAGCCAUAGGCUCCGUUUGCCAAGUUGGAGUUUUCAGCAGCCAUUGUGGCCUCAUGAAGCAGAAGCUUGCCUAAGAAUGAUGCCAGCACAGAGGAACACAGAGCCUAGGAACGGAGAAACAGAAGUCCCCAUUGACAUCAUUUGAGCACCUGGAUUCAGCCUUGCCUGAAGCUGAUGUACCUAGUCUUUUUAGUUAUAGGUUAACAUUUCCCUUUUUAGCUUGGACUAGUUUGUCAGAUUUCUCCUCUUUGAAUGGAAAAAGUCUUGACUACAACACUAAUGAAUGCAAAUGAGUUGUCUUUUA